UACAAAACUUUGAAUUUUUUGGAUUUAAAACUUUGAAUGUUUGGCGUAUAGCUAUUACACAUUUAUAGUUAUUAAUUGUCGGGCAAUAGCAGCAAAUUGAAGGAUUAUGAAAUAUGAACGAAUAUAUUGACGACUAACUACGUUCCAACUGAGAAAUUUUGCUUAAGCCGCAGCAAAUGAGAAAACUGUAAUCUUUACAUGCCAAUAAAAGGCAAUGCACUCGCCUUGACACUUAUCAACGACUUCAAAGACAAUAUAUUAUUCAAUACUAUAAACACCAGAGGCACACAUAAGACACAAACACAAAAUUACUGCAAACAUAUACCCAUUGGCGAGUUGUACGUAGAUAAAAUUACUUUUCCAGCGCACAAGCCAACAUACACAAAACCUACAAGUUAGUGCUAUUAUAAGCUGAGCAAGUACCAAAUAUAAAGAAAGGUUUGCGUUGAGGAUGAGAAGGUGUUAGGAAUAUCAGAUAUACGUGUAUUUUUUGGAUUUGGUUACAUUUACCAUGCGGCGUUCGCUAUUGCGGCCACUACUGGCGCCAUUGCCACCGCCACCGCCGCCGCCACUUGGGCUGUAAGAAGUUGAAUUCCAUGGAUACAUGCCGACCGCCGUUGUGCCAGUUGUGGUUGUAAAAUUAACUUACUGGAUAUGUGUGUUUAUUGGGUGGAUAUUUAAUUUGUGAAUGCAACGUUUUCCGCUAUUUGUGAUACUUCGCAAAUGUGUUGAAAAUUUGUAAACUUUUGUGGAAAAAAAACAAAUAAUGAUUUUGGGUAAAUUUAGUUUGCGCUUUAACUCAAUAGUUAUUGGUAAUAUGCUAUAAUCAUCACACUUAUGUACUGUGGGCAAAAAGUUCAUCAGUGCGGUGGGUGUUGGUUAAUCUCUUUAGAAAACCUUUUUUAUAAGCACUGCUUCCGGCACUACGGCUAAUGCGCUCACACCGCACAAUUACACACUCUGCCUUUUCUUAUUUUAUUUUUUAUGCAAAUGCAACUUCCGAUGCACUGAUUUUUUUCACAACAUUUUAAUUGCCUCAACCUCCACCGCCUUUCAUUUGGAAGUGUAGCUGCUUACGCUCAACGCUGCACACUUACCAUAAUAUAAUCGCCUCUGUGUGUUGUUAUGUUUUAAUGUAGCGUAAAGCCUGGUUUUUUAUUAUUAAUAUUUCAAAACACACAAUUGUAUUUCGUUUAACUAUUUAUAAUUAAUUACAAAAUUUUCUGCAGCA